rnacentral:rRNA from 1 species
UACGGGGGGGGCAAGCGUUGUUCGGAAUUACUGGGCGUAAAGGGCUCGUAGGUGGCCAACUAAGUCAUACGUGAAAUCCCUCGGCUCAACCGAGGAACUGCGCCCAAAACUACCGUGCUCGAGGAAGAUAGAGGUGAGCGGAACUCACGGUGGAGCGGUGAAAUGCGUUGAUAUCGUGAGGAACACCCGUGGCGAAAGCGGCUCACUGGGUCUUUUCUGACGCUGAUGCACGAAAGCUAGGGGAGCAAACGGG